UACAGAGGUCUCAAGCGUUGUUCGGAUUUACUGGGCGUAAAGGGCGCGUAGGCGGUCAGCACAAGUCAGUUGUGAAAUCUCCGGGCUUAACUCGGAAAGGUCAACUGAUACUGUGCGACUAGAGUGCGGAAGGGGCAACUGGAAUUCUCGGUGUAGCGGUGAAAUGCGUAGAUAUCGAGAGGAACACCUGCGGCGAAGGCGGCUCGCUGGACAGUCACUGACACUCAACUACGAAAGCGUGGGGAGCAAACAGGA
rnacentral:rRNA from 1 species